UUGACCUUUCCCUGCACCUGUUUCCGAACUGGACUGCUCAGAGUGGGUCCCAGUGGGCCUCCCUUCCCAGCAUCAGGCUGACCAGGCCUCAGCCACCAGCGCUGGGCCCAGAGCUGCCAUGGUGUGUCUUUUGGUGUGUCCUGCAGAGAAGCUUUGUGAAGUCAAGUGGGCCUUAAGAAGCACUGCUGUUAAUAAAGCUAGUGGAUGCGAUGAAAUUCCAGCAGAACUAUUCAGAUCCCUAGGAGGAUGUCAUCAAGGUUUUGCAUUCAUGUCAGCAAAUCUGGAAGACCCGGCAGUGGCCACAGGACUGGAAAAGGUCAAUCCUCAACCCAGUUCCCAAGAGAGGUAGUCCCAAAGAAUGUCCUAACCAUCGGAUAAUUGCAUUCAUCUCCCAUGCUAGUAAGGUCAUGCUGAAUAUCUUGCAUGGUAGGCUUCAGCAUUAUGUGAACUAAGAACUUCCAAAUGUCCAAGCUGGGUUUAGAAAAGGAAGAGGAACUAGAGAUCAAAUUGCCAACUUUCGCUGGAGAGAAGAGAAGCUUCCUCACCAUGCAUGGUUUUAGGAAGUCAUGAGUCGGAAUUGCAGGUGUGUGUUAAGUAUCAACUCUCCUGGCUGGAGGAGGCCCAGGAUGGGCUGCUCAAGUGCCAACCACCUGACUCACUGUCCCUGCCCUGCAGUCCCACUCUCCCAGCUAAAUCAGGGCUGAGAUCUGGGUCCUUGUUGAAUGAGAUCGCAUUGGGCUUUUCCCCCCUUUUUGGGGUGCGGUUCCUGGGAAAUGAGGCAGUUGGGGAUUUUUAAAACUCUGUGCAAGAGACAGGUUGUUGCACUAAUGUCUAACCUGCUGUAGAGCCCCCUGAAAGUGAGGUGAGGCCCAGGAGAACUCGAGGGGGUGAAGUUGGAUGUUUGCCAUGGGCCUGUGGUGGCAGGACUCCGCCUCAGUGCCUGUAUUUGCUGGGGGCUCCCCCAAAUACAUCCUGGACAGAACAAGCAUAUAGCAGGGGCAGCAGACAGCCUCCCUCCCAGGCCUGCUUGGGGGUGUACAGGUGAAUUUCCUGAGCCGUGCGUCUUGAGGUUGCUUCUCACAGUGAGUACAGAGGGCGUCUCCUUGCCUCACGGGCUGCUGGCCACUGGGACUGAGCAAAUGCUGCCUGGUUGCCCCAGCACAUCACGGGGCAGGUAGGAGGUUGGUUUCAGCGUGUGUUGAAAGAGGCUGGCACGUGAUCCCCGUCCUCCUCAGGCUCUUAAAGCAGACAGUCGGAACCCUGUCGCGGGUACUGCUUUCAGAGCUCUGAUGGCCACUCUUUGUGUAUGAGGCUCAGAUUGUAAAGACUCUCUUACCGAGUCGCCUGCACUGGCAGGUUCUUUACCACUGGUGCCACCUGGGAAGCCAUUUUGCUUUUGAACUUAACUUAUUUUUUUGAAGAAAUUGUUAUUUUACACAGAUAUUCCUGGAUAAGAUUGGAAAACAUAGAAAAGGAAGGAAGAAGGGAAAAAGUCCCCUGUAACUACCCUGUCCACCCUGUUUCUCUUGCUAGCAUGCUGUCGUGUACCCUGUAAGAGUCAUUCCUGUCUACAUAAAGGAGUCCACGAGGUCUGGAAACAGGCAGGUAGAUACAUCAUCGUCAAGAACGUCUUCAGUCCAUGAAGGAACAAAAGAAUGUCGUGUGUCCAGACUUCAUAGAUGCCCUGUAGAUACUUGUAAUACAAAUGUAUAUAUUUAGCAAAAAUUACAUCAUAUCAUGGUGCUGGAGAAGACUUGAGAGUCCCUUGAGCUGCAAGGAGAUCAAACCAAUCAUUCCUAAAGGAAAUCGACACUGAAUAUUUACUGUAAGGAUGGAUGCUAAAGCUAAAACUCCAAUACUCUGGCCACUUGAUACAAGGAGCUGACUCAUUAGAAAAGACCCUGAUGCUGGGAAAGAUUGAGGACAGAAGGAGAAGGGGAUGACAGAGGAUGAGAUGGUUGGAUGGCGUCCCUGCCUCGACGGACAUGAGUUUGAGCAAACUCCGGGAGAUAGUGAAGGACAGGGAAGCCUCGUGUGCUGCAGUCCAUGGGGUCGCAAAGAGUCAGACACGACUUAGUGAUUGAACAACCACAGCAACACAUCAUAUUUUCACUUAUUUUGAUUCAUGAUUCUGUAAAGACUUGUAAAUAUGACAGAUGGGUGUAAGACAGUAUUUCGCGGUUAUUUUAAAUUAUGUGUUCCUGAAUUCUAGUGAGGCUGAACACCUUUUCAAUAUGUUUAUUUUCCUUUUUUGUUUCC
ensembl:lncRNA